CUCCUCUCUCUCUCUCUCCUCUCACUGUCAACUACGCAAGCGGCGGACAGAGGAGGCGAGGCGAGGCAGCGACGGCUGAGGAGGCGGCGGCGGCGGCUAGGCGAGCGGCGGCUAGGCGAGCGGCAGCUAGGUGGCGAGCGGCGGCGGCUCGAGGCGUGCGACCGGCGGUGAUGGGUGGACGCGGAGGCGGACUAGGCGGCUAGCGGCGGAGGCACCCUGGCGGAGCUCUCUCGGACGGCCGAUGACAGAGGCGGAGGCGGAGGCGGAGCGUGCGUC
rnacentral:sRNA from 1 species